rnacentral:lncRNA from 1 species
AGACUGUAAGUAUACAUGAAACAACCGCUACUAUAGCUAUAUGCGUCAACCGGACGAAAAGUCCAAAUAUACCCAAUCUGAAAACUUGGCCCUGUUGGUCCGCACGGCAGACCUCAAGCCUAUGCCACUGCCACUCUACCUGUGUAUAACCCAAGGUAGCCUAUGGGCUCACAGGCUGCAUAUAACCCAAGGUAGCCUAUGG